AUGAGGGAAUCUAUGGCUUCUGUCUCCCAACCCCCCAUUUACACGGGCCCCCAAGGAGGAUCCAGUGUGGUGUCUGUGGAAAUCGGGAGUGUUUUACACCAUAAUGAGAGCAUGUAUGAUAAGACAGUCCCUGAGAUGAAGGGAAACCAGGGGAACUGCAGCUGGAGUGGAGUAGGAGCCCCUGGUGUAGGACCCGCGAGCAGACCUGCGGAGGACAUAGGAAACUCUGAAAACCUCAUCUGGAGAAUGCUGCUGGGAGAGCGGAUUGGCUCCAAUGGUGUUCUUCCCAACAUCUCAACCAAUCAGCUUCUUACUCGAAGAGAUGGCUUUUUCUCUGAAGGCCCAUGGUGUUAGACUACAGCAGUCUUGAGCAAGCGGGUCUUAAUGGCUCACUGCUUGAGGUCACCAUCGGGCAUCGGCGAAAUGACACAGGGGACGUCCUGCUCCUAAACAGAACUGCUACUUCCUUUUCACGCAAUUGCAGCAAUCGCACCAGGUAAACAUGAUCAUGUACAUUACCAUAUUUGUUUUGUCUCUUAUGCUUACAAAAACACAGUACAUUUUCUGAAAUACCAUUACAAUACAAAAUAACCAUUUUCUAUUUUCAUAUUUUAUAAAAUUAAAUGUAUUCCUGUGAUGGCAAAGCAGAAUUUUCAAAAGUCAUUAUUCCAGUCUUCACUGUCACACGAUCCUUCAGAAAUCUUUGGUGCUCAAGAAACAGUUAUUUUUAUAAUCAAUGUUGACAACAAUGUUUAUAGUGCUGCCUAAUAUUUUUUUUAGAAACUGUGAUAUUUAUUUCAGUGUCCUUUGAUUAAAAAAUAAAUAAAUAAUUGCACAUCAAUUUAAUGCAUACUUGCUGAAUAAAAGUAUUCAUUUUCGACCCCAAACUUUUGAACUUGAAUUUUUAUAAUAAUCAUUUUAUUUGUAAUAUUUUAAUAAUUCCAUAUAUAUAUAUAUAUAUAUAUAUAUAUAUAUAUAUAUAUAUAUAUAUAUAUAAAAAGAAAACACCCAAUAGGCUUUACUCAUAUUACAGACAUGAAGCAUGAUUUGCUACUUUCUGAUCAGUGGUGUUAUGAGAGACGCUUUCUCAUUCUAGAGGGCAUUUGAUUGGAUACGAUUCUGUGCAUGAUCUUGAGGUUAGAAUUGGAGUUUUGAUGACUCAUCCUGCAAAGUCUUCCAUGCACUGAACCAGUGGAUAU
rnacentral:lncRNA from 1 species